GACGAACGCUGGCGGCGUGCCUAAUACAUGCAAGUAGAACGCUGAAGAGAGGAGCUUGCUCUUCUUGGAUGAGUUGCGAACGGGUGAGUAACGCGUAGGUAACCUGCCUUGUAGCGGGGGAUAACUAUUGGAAACGAUAGCUAAUACCGCAUAACAAUGGAUGACACAUGUCAUUUAUUUGAAAGGGGCAAUUGCUCCACUACAAGAUGGACCUGCGUUGUAUUAGCUAGUAGGUGAGGUAACGGCCCACCUAGGCGACGAUACAUAGCCGACCUGAGAGGGUGGUCGGCCAACCUGGGACUGGGACACGGCCCAGACUCCUACGGGAGGCAGCAGUAGGGAAUCUUCGGCAAUGGGGGCAACCCUGACCGAGCAACGCCGCGUGAGGGAAGAAGGUUUUCGGAUCGUAAAGCUCUGUUGUAAGUCAAGAACGAGUGUGAGAGUGGAAAGUUCACACUGUGACGGUAGCUUACCAGAAAGGGACGGCUAACUACGUG
rnacentral:rRNA from 1 species